CAACCAGGUCUAGAACCCAAACCUUCAACCCCUGAGCUUUCCUGCCUUCGAGUCCUCGGAGCUCUCCUGGAGGCUGAGCAGGCAACAGAGCCUGCUCCUCAGCUGGAUGUGGCCCGUGGGAGGUGGAGAAACUGAGGCUCAGAUAAAUGACUAAGAAGUAAAGUGAGGUCCCAUAGCCAGUGAAUGGCAGAGCAGGGAUUCGAACCCAGGUCUCUCAUCUGGGAAGUGGGAUGAUAGCGCCAACCUAGCUGGAUUGCUGUGACUGCCAGCACAAUGCCUUCUAAGGGUUCAAGAUGAGAUUACUUAGUCCCAGAUGGGUUAAGUAACUGGCCCAAGGUCACAGCGCUGGUAAGCAACUGGGCUUCAAUCCAACCAUCCUGACUCCAGAAGCCUCUUUGAACUACCACCUUCUGCACCUGCCCCAGGGCUUCUUCGCCUGAGCCGGUGCCUUGCUGCCGCCCUGCUCAUCUCUUCUGGGAAGAUGCCUCUCAUCUUGCCAGUCCUCAAGCCAGAAGCCUCCGGUGCUGCCCUAGGGCUCCCUGAAUAGGCAUCCCUAAGGCAUCCCUCCUGGUGUUCAAACCACAUCCUUCCUGGCUAAGCUUCCAUUCCCCAGGGUAGCCCUCCACACUUUGGAGCCUCAGCUCACCUCUCACUCUCACACUUCAGUUUCACACUUCCCUUCUGAAUGGUCCCACCUCUGUGCUUUUGCUUAAGCUGUGCACACUUCCCAGAGUGCUCUUUCCCCUAUGUCUGCCUGUGCUCCAAUACCCUAUGCCUGAGCUGACCCAUGACAUACAAGCACCUACAGAGGCCUGGGGGAAGGAGGCAGUGGUAUGUGUGUCAGUGUGGGGAGUCAGUGAAGAGGUUUGGGGCUUUAGGGUCAGUUAUGUGACUUCAGGGCAAGUCCCCAUCUCCCUGAACCCCAGUUUCUGCAAAAUGAAGAUAUCCAUCCCAGCUUCUCCCAAGGUUUAUAAUGGUAAUCUGUGAGGUUCUGGCACAUGAUGAAUCCAUAACUACCCGUUGUGACAAGUUCCCCACUUGUGAAGUCAAAUGAAGACCCCCUGGUGUUGACAGUGCAGGAAAACCUGUGCCCGAGCACCUUGUCCCUAGGGAGAACCCUACCUUCAGUGCCUCUCUGAACAACAGGGCCAGGAAGGGGUCACUGUAUAGCAGUUGGUCCCUAGUGACCAGUCCUGGCAGAGGGCCUUUAUCCCACUUCCAGUAGCCCAGCACCAACCAUCCCCAGCUCUGGGAGGGGGUGGGCAGCACCCUCCUUCCUCCACAUUGUUGCCACCUCAGAGAGUCAGAAUCCAGGGAGACAGUCUCCUGGCAGCGGAGCUCCUGCUGCCCGCCAUGGGUGUCUGUGAUGCUGCCGUGCCCACUGGGGGCUGCAGGCACUCCAGCAUCAGGAUGGACUAAAUCUCGGGAGUGGGAAGGGGACUCCAGCCAGGGGCACUGGAGACAGGGCCAGCCUGAGUGCCUGCUUCUCCCAGGGGCAGGUGCCAGCAUGGUGCACCCCUCAAGGAGUGUGGCAGGUAAGAUUGAGGUCCUGGCUGCCCCAGGCUCCUGUGCCAUCGAGAGGGAAAGCACCUGGAACAGGUAUACAGUAGAUGCUUAGUGAUGAGGAGAAUCUUCACUUGGUGGAAUUCUGAACACUUUGGGUACCACCAGAGUCAGAAUUCCCAGAGGAGGAGGCAGGCAUUUGAUAACGGAUGUCUGGAGGAUAUAGCAUGUUCAACCUUCCCCUCUCCAUGAGAGGAAGUGGUGACCUCAACCCCAGCACCCUCCUCUGCCCAUUCACACCCACCCACUCCCACCUCUCUGCCAGCCUCAGUUGGAUGUGGAGCAGAAUGUAAUGAGGACUUACCUGUCCACAAGGACUUCACAACUGUUCCAAGGCGAUGGAUGGGCAGGUGCUAACGCAGCCCCUCAGUGUCCCCCUUCCCUUGCUUUUGGGGUGGGCUUGGGGCCCCCGGGGGGUCCUAACUCACUGAAGAUACCAGGGCCCAGCUUCUGAGUAUUCCUAGAGGCCAUUUCUACCCCUAGAAACUUUACAUGGAGCCAAAAGCCCAUUUGAAGCUCAGUCUGGGCCAGGAGAGGCUAAUCAUAAAAGGGAUAUUUUUUAAGUGUACAGAAAUAAGAAUUUAUUUUUGAAGACAUGAUUUAUAUUUUGAAUGGCUAAUGCACUCACAUGAUUCAAAAUUCAAAAUUCCAAAAGAACCGACAGUGCAAAGUCGCUCCUCCUUUGGUCCCCACCACCCAGUUUCCCUCUGCAGAGGGAACCUUGUUGCCAGUUCUUGUGUAUUCUUCCAGAGAUCUUCUAUGUAUAAACCGUCAUCCUCCUAGGAA
ensembl:lncRNA novel transcript